UACAGAGGGUGCGAGCGUUGUUCGGAAUUAUUGGGCGUAAAGGGCGCGUAGGCGGUGCGGUAAGUCACCUGUGAAAUCUCCUGGCUUAACUGGGAGCCUGCAGGCGAAACUACCGUGCUGGAGUGUGGGAGAGGUGCGUGGAAUUCCCGGUGUAGCGGUGAAAUGCGUAGAGAUGCGGAGGAACACCAGUGGCGAAAGCGACUUUCUGGUCCUUAACUGACGCUGAGGCGCGAAAGCAUGGGGAGCGAACGGG
rnacentral:rRNA from 1 species